GGGGGGAUAGCUCAGUGGUAGAGCAUUUGGCUCUGGAUCUUGAAAGCCCAUGUUCAAGUCCCUGUGCCCCCU
rnacentral:tRNA from 1 species